rnacentral:rRNA from 1 species
AAGGUAAAAAAUCGGCGUGGUUAGCAGAACGAGUUGGAAAGCUCAGCCAGAGACUGUGAUAGCCAGGUAUGUGAAAACGACGCUGACCUUAUUCUGUAUUCUCGAGUAGGUCGGGGCACGAGAAACCCUGAUUGAAUCCGGCUGGACCACCAGCCAAGGCUAAAUAUAGUAUAUGAUCGAUAGUGAACUAGUACGGUGACGGAAAGGUGAAAAGAACCCCGGGAGGGGAGUGAAAUAGAACCUGAAAUUUUGUGCCUACAAGGAGUCGGAGCCCAGCACCUUUGAAAUCGAGUGGUACAAUGUAGGCGGAUGUUCUACGUGUACGUUUUGCAAAGUGAUCGGGAAUCAGAUCAAAUUUACUUCGGUCAGACUAGUGACUUAAGACGACGUCUCUCGGAGCAUAAUUCUGGCAAGGAUACUUAUACCAAGAUAUAUGCGCCAUGGAAGGUUGUCUAUUAUGAAGCCUAUUCAUCACGUAAGCUAGCAAUGGCCCGUGAGAGGCAGCUGAAAGCUUAUGGACAAGCCAGGACUGCUCUGAAGAAGAGACUAAAUUUGAUCUGAUACUCGAUUUCAAAGGUGCUGGGUGACGGCGUGCUUUUUGUAGAACGAUCCAGCGAGUUAAUUUUUACGGCGAGGUUAAGUCAGAUGACGAAGCCACAGUGAAAGCGAGCAUUAACAGUGCGAUUUAGUCGUAAGGAUUAGACCCGAAACCAGGUGACCUAACCAUGAGCAGGUUGAAGCAACCUUAAUCGGUUGUGGAGGACCGAACCAGUGUAUGUUACAAAAUGCUUGGAUGACUUGUGGUUAGCGGUGAAAUGCCAAUCGAACUUGGAGAUAGCUGGUUCUCCGCGAAAUAGUUAUAGGACUAGCGUCGUGUGAUAGCUUACGGGGGUAGAGCUCUGUCAAGAGAUAGGGGGAGCAAUCCUACCUACUCUUAAUAAACUACGAAUACCGUAUGUCUGUAUCACGGCAGUUAGAACGUCGGUGCUAAGAUCGGCGCUCAAAAGGGAAACAGCCCAGACCAUCAUCUAAGGUCCCCAAAUUUACGCUAAGUGGGAAACAAGGUGGAAUUUCUUAAACAGCUAGGAUGUUGGCUUAGAAGCAGCCAUUCAUUUAAAGAGUGCGUAACAGCUCACUAGUCAAGAGAUUCUGCGUGGAAGAUAUAACGGGGCUAAGCGUAAUACCGAAGAUAUGGAUUGCAAUUUAUUGCAGUGGUAGCGGAGCGUUCCUAUCAGCAGUGAAGCCAGACUGUUAAGUACUGGUGGAGCGUUAGGAAGUGAGAAUGCUGGAACGAGUAACCAUAAGACAGGUGAGAAUCCUGUCGGCCGAAAGAGCGAGGUUUCCUGGGCUAUGGUAAUCAUCCCAGGGUUAGUCGGGCCUAAGCCGAGGCGUUUAGCGUAGGCGAUGGACAUCAGGUUAAUAUUCCUGAACUAGUCAAACUUUGUAUGCAGUUAGCGAUGAGAUAGGUGGAGCGGAUUCAUGGUUUAUCCGUUCAAGUGAUAGAGGAAUCUUGAUCGAGUAAAAGUGAACCUACGGGUUUACGAUUCCGCUGAAGGCAUUGACCAGAAAAGCUGACAUACGCAUGGGUUUGGCUACCCGUACCGCAAACCGACACAGGUGCUCGAGUCGAGGAGACUAAGGCUUACGAGAGAAUGAUUGCUAAGGAACUCGGCAACACAGCGACCGUAACUUCGGAAUAAGGUCUGCCUACAUUUGUAGGCCGCAGCUAAAGAGCCCACGGAACUGUUUAUCAAAAACUCAGGUCUCUGCUAACACGAAAGUGGAUGUAUAGGGGCUGAAACCUGCCCGGUGCCGGAAGGUUAAGGGGAUUGCUUCACGGUGAGAACUGAAGCCCCGGUGAACGGCGGCGGUAACUAUAACCGUCCUAAGGUAGCGAAAUUCCUUGUCAGGUAAGUUCUGACCCGCACGAAUGGUUAAAUCAUGUGGGCACUGUCUCAGCAAUUAUCUCGGUGAAAAUGCAUUGGCGGUAAAGAUGCCGUCUGUCCGCACCAGGACGAAAAGACCCCGUGGAGCUUCACUACAGCUUUACAUUGUUGUGGGUUCUAACUUGUGUAGUAUAGGUGGGAGACUUUGAAGCAGAUACGCUAGUAUUUGUGGAGUCAUCAGUGAAAUACCACCCCCGUUAGGAUCUGCAUCUAACCUGUGCCGUUAUCCGGUAUAGGGACCGUGUAUGGUUGGUAGUUUAACUGGGGCGGUUGCCUCCUAAAGAGUAGCGGAGGCGUUCAAAGGUUGGCUAGCUACGGAUGGAAAUCGUAGUGGUAGUGUAUACGCAUAAGCCAGCUUGACUGUGAGGAGUACAUUCCGAUCAGAUGCGAAAGCAGGAGUAAGUGAUCCGCUGGACGAACCAUUGGUUCAUGAAUGUGGGAUUGCCAGCGCAAACGGACAAAAGUUACCCCGGGGAUAACAGGCUGAUAGCGCCCAAUAGUUCACAUAGACGGCGCUGUUUGGCACCUCGAUGUCGGCUCAUCACAUCCUGGAGGGGGAGCACCUUCCAAGG